rnacentral:rRNA from 1 species
UACAGAGGUCUCAAGCGUUGCUCGGAAUCACUGGGCGUAAAGGGCGCGUAGGCGGCCGUUCAAGUCGGGGGUGAAAGCCUGUGGCUCAACCACAGAAUGGCCCUCGAUACUGGAUGGCUCGAGACCGGAAGAGGUUGGUGGAACUGCGAGUGUAGAGGUGAAAUUCGUAGAUAUUCGCAAGAACACCAGUGGCGAAGGCGGCCAACUGGUCCGGUUCUGACGCUGAGGCGCGAAAGCGUGGGGAGCAAACAGG